AGUGGCGCACGGGUGAGUAACACGUGGAUUAUCUACCUUUUAGUGGGGAAUACCUCUGGGAAACCGGAGACAAUACCGCAUAAGCGAAAGGAAAGCCGCGCUGAAAGAGGAGUCCGCGGCUGAUUAGCUAGAUGGCGGGGUAAUGGCCCACCAUGGCGACGAUCGGUAGCCGGCCUGAGAGGGCACACGGCCACACUGGCACUGAAACACGGGCCAGACUCCUACGGGAGGCAGCAGUGGGGAAUCUUGCACAAUGGGCGAAAGCCUGAUGCAGCGACGCCGCGUGAGCGAUGAAGCCCUUCGGGGUGUAAAGCUCUUUCGACGGGGACGAUUGACGGUACCCGGAGAAGAAGCUGCGGCUAACUACGUGCCAGCAGCCGCGGUAAUACG
rnacentral:rRNA from 1 species